ACUCCUACGGGAGGCAGCAGUGGGGAAUAUUGCACAAUGGGCGCAAGCCUGAUGCAGCAACGCCGCGUGAGCGAUGAAGGCCUUCGGGUCGUAAAGCUCUGUCCUCAAGGAAGAAUAAAUGACGGUACUUGAGGAGGAAGCCCGGCUAACUACGUGCCAGCAGCCGCGGUAAUACGUAGGGGCAAGCGUUAUCCGGAAUCACUGGGCGUAAAGGGUGCGUAGGCGGUUUUCAAGUCAGAAGUGAAAGGCUAUGGCUCAACCAUAGUAAGCUUUUGAAACUGUUAAACUUGAGUGCAGGAGAGGAAAGUGGAAUUCCUAGUGUAGAGGUGAAAUUCGUAGAUAUUAGGAGGAACACCAGUGGCGAAGGCGACUUUCUGGACUGUAACUGACGCUGAGGCACGAAAGCGUGGGAGCGAACAGGAUUAGAUA
rnacentral:rRNA from 1 species